rnacentral:rRNA from 1 species
AGAGUUUGAUCAUGGCUCAGAACGAACGCUGGCGGCAGGCUUAACACAUGCAAGUCGAACGCCCCGCAAGGGGAGUGGCAGACGGGUGAGUAACGCGUGGGAAUCUACCUAGUUCUACGGAACAACAGUUGGAAACGACUGCUAAUACCGUAUACGCCCUAUGGGGGAAAGAUUUAUCGGAAUUAGAUGAGCCCGCGUAAGAUUAGCUAGUUGGUGGGGUAAUGGCCUACCAAGGCGACGAUCUUUAGCUGGUCUGAGAGGAUGAUCAGCCACACUGGGACUGAGACACGGCCCAGACUCCUACGGGAGGCAGCAGUGGGGAAUAUUGGACAAUGGGCGCAAGCCUGAUCCAGCCAUGCCGCGUGAGUGAUGAAGGCCUUAGGGUUGUAAAGCUCUUUCAGUGGGGAAGAUAAUGACGGUACCCACAGAAGAAGCCCCGGCUAACUUCGUGCCAGCAGCCGCGGUAAUACGAAGGGGGCUAGCGUUGUUCGGAUUUACUGGGCGUAAAGCGCACGUAGGCGGAUUGUUAAGUCAGGGGUGAAAUCCUGGAGCUCAACUCCAGAACUGCCUUUGAUACUGGCAAUCUCGAGUCCGGAAGAGGUAAGUGGAACUCCUAGUGUAGAGGUGGAAUUCGUAGAUAUUAGGAAGAACACCAGUGGCGAAGGCGGCUUACUGGUCCGGAACUGACGCUGAGGUGCGAAAGCGUGGNNAGCAAACAGGAUUAGAUACCCNNGUAGUCC